CCUCGUGUUGCAUCCCUCUUUUUUUUUUUUUUUUUUUGGUUAAAACUUUAUGACUCUAUAACUUCUAUACCGUGAGGCCAAACUUGGCAUGUGAUAUCUUUUCGCAAAGCCCAAAGAGAGCCCUCCGACGAAAGAAGCAAGACAAUGGAACAUUUCCAUUGACUUUUUUUCGACUCCAAAUUUUGACCUUUAACUACUUUUUCCGCGAUUUUCGUGAUUUGUGCUAUAUUACGGAACCCAAAAUUACUUUUUCAAGCAUUGUUUUCGAAUAUUUUUCAUGCAUCAAAGCUCGUUAAGACUAGAUGGGGUAUCCCUACAUGGCGGGUGGGACCCACGGCGAACGGUUCAUCAAGACUUAAAAAAAGAAUAUAUACGAUUGCAUUGCAUAUACUAACGGAUGCGAUCAUACCAGC
rnacentral:rRNA from 1 species